rfam:Ruminococcus sp. CAG:60 genomic scaffold, scf75
UAAUAUCAGGGUUCCAAACUUAAAAGCGUUAGAGCGUGUUUGCAUGGUAACGCUUUUAAACUUGGAACCCACAAACAUGAAGAAGUAGCGAUUUACGCAGUAAAUCAGCGGAUUCUGAAUGUUUGUAGGAUUGCGGGAGCAGCUAAACUGCGUAGCAAUCCGCAGAUAUUA